UACAGAGGUCCCAAGCGUUGUUCGGAUUCACUGGGCGUAAAGGGUGCGUAGGUGGUGAGGUAAGUCGGAUGUGAAAGCUCGGAGCUCAACUCCGAAAUGGCAUUGGAAACUACCUUGCUCGAGGGUUGGAGGGGGGACUGGAAUACUUGGUGUAGCAGUGAAAUGCGUAGAUAUCAAGUGGAACACCAGUGGCGAAGGCGAGUCCCUGGGCCGGAACUGACGCUACGGAGCGAAAGCGUGGGGAGCGAACAGG
rnacentral:rRNA from 1 species